UGUAAAUAUGCCCUGGCUGCACGGGGAAGGAUACAUGCGCGGACGUGAACGUAUAGAGACCGCAGGCAUGUGCGUGCACUGUCGGUUUAAAUGAGCCGAUGCAUGGCUGCAGCCUGUCUGUUUCCCUCUCUUUCUUUCUCUCACUCCCCUUCUCUCUCCGAGUGUGUAUGUGUGUGUGAGUGUGUGUGUGUGUGUGUGUGUGUGUGUGUGUGUGUGCAGGCUCUGCAGGAGGAGAAGUGAAUGUAUCGCUGAGGAAUGUACAGAAAGUCUCCCCGCCCCCAGUUUUCAGGACUCCUCGCUAUGGACAAAUUCCAUAGGGGGCAAAACUGACAUAAAGUUUCAGACCAGACUGCAUCCCUAUGUGGGAACAUUUCUGCUGUUAAUGUCAGAGUAGGAAUCGAUCUGGUUCAGCUGGGAUAUUUCUAGAGGAAAAGACAAAGGGAUUUGGAGGCAGAUAGUUUAGGCAAAACGCAGCGUAUAGCACAACUCUGAGCUCCUGGCCUCACUCCAAGAUAUAGAUAGUGUGCGUCGCCAAGCGCAAGGCUCGUUUACAAACCCCCCUUUAGGCUACAGUGAAUCAAGGGAUUCUGUUUUCCGCUGUGAGCACUGAAUUCAGUGGCUGACCGCUUCGGACAGAGUGAAGGAAAGCUGUGGUGAACGCCAUGUUGAGGAGAAUCAGGAGCCUCACAGUAACUUGACUAACAAUCUGCCUCCUUAUCGCUGCAAGAGCAUGUGAUCCAGCCAUAGGUUUUCCACAGCAGCCAGAGUGGAUUUUGUUUUUUAUUAAUGCUCCACAGCAAAACUAACCAGGGGAUGGUUGUGUGCGUUUCCAGCAGAUUCUGCUUUGUGAUGGCACACCUUCAUCUCAUCAGAAAAUGGCGGUUUGUGCCCCCCUCUUUAAACACAUGCCAUUUGAAGCAGUAAACAACGAGUUAACGCUCGCUGGUAAGCUGCUAAAAGAGUGAAUGCACCCCAGCUAGUAGCUCUGUUAUUUUUUUAAAAAAGAUUAACACAAGUAAAGUUUUCAGUUUUCUCUUCCCCCCCUCUUCUUGUCAAAUAAAACUAAUAUCCUGGAAAUUGCGUGGGGGGAGAGAAAACGUUAAAACUUUCAAAUUUGGAUGUGUGGAGUCAUUUUUUUAGUGAAAUGGCUCACCUUUUGUUUUGCUGAAAAAACACAUUUAAAGGCUAUAAAUAGACAGCACAAGCCCAGCUUCCCUGACACUGUCGUCCCCCUUUUUUUGUUUAGCUGUCCCUAAAAUUUUCAUGAAAUAUUUAUUUAACAGCUGCUAAUUUGCUUGUGUUCUGCCCACACUGCGUUUCACACGCAGCGUGAAGUGUCAAAGAAAUCAUCUGAAAUUCUCUGUUUAUUUUAGUUUUAAUUAUUUUGUCCUCAACUGGCUUUAUUGUGAUGGACAUUUGAUUGUGUGUGUUUUUUUUUUCUUUCUUUCUGCAAUUAUGUGUGAUCUUAAGAGAUAACUUUAGCUUUAAUUUUCAUCUGGGGUUGAGGCAUUUGAUCAGAUUAAAGGCACAUGUUCAUGCAGCUCAAAAAGUUUGCUGGAAUUGGGUGUUUUCACACUCAGACACAUGAAUAUUUGCUGUCUUUGUCACACUUUGCAGCUAUUCUGUACGGCCAUGCUUCAGCAGUGUGGCUUUGUCUCUCUUUCUCUUAAAAAAAAUAACCAAAAAAAAACUUCUUCCUCUUCCUUCUGGUUGCUCUUGUUUACUGGUUUCAGCACCUUGAUUGAUUAGUUACACUGAGAUUUGUGUUGGGGAAAAUUCGCCCUUAACAGCACAAAAGCAAUCAAUUUCUUCAAUAUCUUGUUCUCUGGAAGAAGAGAAAAACAAGUUUGGUUGUGCUUCUAGCUUUCACACUUGUUAUUUGUCAUUAGAUUGUGUUAUUGUUGUAAAAUAAAGUGUAGGAUUUGUUGAAUUUCUAAUAGACUAAGUUGUGUAUUCUCUCAUAUUAGGGAUAUAGUGUCAUUUACUGCUUGUGAUUAUUGAUUAUUAGAGUUAGAUUGUUGUUAGUAACCGUGUAUUUACUUGAUAAUUUAUUUCUGUAAAGAUAUAUAAAUGUUUAAUGUCAGUUUUACAUGCAAAAUAGUUUCAAACAAGUUUUAAAUGGACAAUGAAUUAUUUUAUGAUUUUGAUACACGUUAGCUUACGGUUAAAACUCACAAAGCUCGUUUCAGGUGCAGCAAAUAACCUUUUAUUUGUUCAGUUUGGCCACAUUUAUAAAGAGGUGUGCGGAUAUGAAUAGAUAAAUGCAUUUGGAUCUCCAAAAUGAUCAGUUUCAAAGUUAAGGUUUUAAGAAAAGUCUAAACAAAAAAAAUAUUUUUUAAAAAAUGGUCAAAUUAUGCCUUUCCUUUUUGGACCUUUGUACGAGCAGAACCCUAAUUAACAAGUAAGAUAAUCAGCAUGUGCUAAGGGAAGAGCUAACCGUUGCUAAUGUUUGUUAUUCCAAGUGGAGCAGACGGAGGUGAGGAUUUUAGGCCUUAAACCCCCUCCCCCCCUCAGCUCACUUCCGGUGUUCAAACCAUAUGCAACACAUGAACAUGCUGCUGAAUGUUAACCUUCAGACAUUGUCCUGUUUGUUACAUGUGUCCCCUCCCAGUGUUAAUCUGAUCAUGCGUGCAUGGUAAAGCUACAUGCUGCGCCUGGUGAGGGUCUCGGGUGUGUUUGGUUCAUUGCUCUAUAUCUCUGGCCUGUACAGUAAAACUAUAUGAUGGGGUUCGUGGAAAACUAUCAAAAUUGAUGUAAAAUUCAAAUCAACAGUAACUAUUUUUGUUGUUUUUUAAAUUUUUUUGCAAUAGAUGUAGACCGCUCCCUCUUUUCACUUUUCUGUCGAAGUAGAUUUUUUUGAAACAACUUUAAAUUCUAUAUGUAAAAUGCAUCUACUUGUGAGUAGACUGUCGCCAGCUGGUCAGCCCCUACCUUGCCACCUGUGUCACAGCGCAAGUUUACUGAGAUUAACAUUUAUCCCAGCCGUAACCAUAUAGAAAUAUCUUAAAUUUCAUUUUUUCAGCAUGCGCCCGUGUUCUGCUUUUAAAACUAAUUACUUAACUACAACAUAACUACAAUUUAGGCACAAUAACCAACUAUAUAACCUGCUUGUUUCAUUGUUCAAAUCUCCACAAAACAAAGUGUGUACGAAUGAGUGUGCAGUCAAUAUAAAGGGGGAAAUGAGCACACACUCAUAGAUGUGUAGACUACGGUGAUGGACCUUUAUUGAGAAAGACCUUAUACUCUAACCCUUGUAUCCUUCCAGCCAGUGGUUACCUUGGAACCAUAAGAAUUAUCUCUGAAUGGAUGAAUGCAUAACUCUGAGGGGCCCCGUGACAUGUCAGCACUGAUUAUUAACCCCAUCUGAACGAGGGGCCUUAUUGGGCCCGAGGUUUAUAGAUAAAGGGCUCUCCAUUCCUACAAGUUUACUUUAUUGACCAGCCACUCAAUGUCAGGAUCCUGUUUACUCUCCCAUCUUUAUCAAUCCCAGGUUUGAUCCCGUAUCUAUGCGGGACAAAGCGAGUGAUGAUGUUGAGUUGACGCAAUCUGUGUGGAUUUUCUUAAUGAAAGAAACUGUUACUCACUUUAGAACAAACUUUGCCAUCUUUUUUCAUUGUUUCACUGUGAAAGUACAACUUUAAGGUAAAUGCCCUGGAUAACAGAACAAAGUGAAGAACUUACUGCAUGUUAAUGUAUGACAUGUUAAGAUCUUUUGUGUUAAUGUUUGUUGAGUUGCAGAAUAUAGUUUUUUUCUCAUGAACUUUGAAUCUCCUGAGUUACCCAAUAAAAGCUUCCUGAAUGUG